ACAGUUUCCAAACAGGCCAUGCCUUAUUUUUCAGCAUCGGGAUACCAUUGGCUAAUGAGUCGAACAUCUUCAGCGUGAUUGGUUGCCUUUUUUCGUACGGUUUCUUCAGAACUCCGAGACGCUGAAUAUUGGGUUACAGUGUAGCAAAAUGGCGGCUGUCAUUCAGAAUCCACUCAAAGCGCUGGGCGACCAGUUCUACAAGGAGGCCAUUGAGCACUGCCGCAGCUACAACUCCCGGCUGUGUGCCGAGCGCAGCGUCCGGCUGCCUUUCCUCGACUCGCAGACGGGUGUCGCCCAGAACAAUUGCUACAUCUGGAUGGAGCAGCGCCACCGCGGGCCAGGUCUGGCCGCGGGACAGAUGUACACGUACCCCGCCCGCUGCUGGAGGAAGAAGAGGAGGCUGCACACGCCUGUGGACCCACAACUGCGACUCUGCGAUCUGCGGCUCGAGGGGGAGCUGGCGGCCAAGAAGGAGCCCCUGGCCUCGGAGAGCACCGCCCUAGAAGCGCUGCUACGUGGGGAGGCCCUGGAGAAGCGCGGCCCCAGCAGCACCAAGGAGGAGGAAAGCCUGCUGGAGAUCCAGAGGGUUCUGGAGGCGGAAGAGAAUGGGGACGGUUACCAUGACGACGAGGACUUUGAGGUGGACACCCCGAAAAGAAAGCAGAGGAGCAAAGGCCGGGGUCGGGGCACAGGGCGCAGGAAAACUGAGGCGGCUCUUACGGACGACCAGGACAAGCCAUAUGUCUGUGACAACAGAUACAGACAAAAGCGUAACUCAAAAACCACCACCCCAGUCUGUGGGAAACGCUACAAGAACCGGCCCGGCUUGAGUUACCACUAUGCCCACACUCACCUGGCGGAUGAGGAGGGGGAGGACGAGAGGGACUCUGAGCCGCCCCAGUCCCCGCCAGCCCACCGAUCCAACAACCACAAACCAGCUCAGAAGGGGCCGGAUGGAACAGUCAUUCCCAAUAACUACUGUGACUUCUGCCUGGGCGACUCUGGAUCGAACAGGAAGACGUGUCAGGCUGAGAACCUGGUGUCCUGCUCAGACUGCGGCCGCUCCGCUGGACGCCUCGGAGGGCGGGACCAGAGGAAGACGGGCGGGGCCGAGGAGUUGUUUGGCGCCACAUCGGAAAGCGACGCGUCCACAUUUCACGGCUUCGAGGACGAGGAGAUUGACGAGCCCUUGUCCAACGGCAGCGUGUCGCCCCCCCGAUGCAGAUAGAAAAAGCUUUUAAAUAACAACGAAAGUUUAAAAAAAAAAAACCUGACUAGUCUGCUGCUUUUUAAUAGUUUUUUUUUUUUUUUUUGCAGAAAGCACAAUUGAUUAUUCUUGAGGAUAAAAGCAAGUGUUCGGUUUAUUUUUAAUUUUAUAGUCCAUUUUAUCGACUUAGGAGACAAUGAAUUAGGAGUUUUUUUUUGCCGGAUGUCUGACAGCAGCAAGCACAGGACAGCAUGCUGCUGACUGAUGUCUGUUGGUGACAGGAGAUUUUUAUUGGCAUUUUUCAUUUUUGUUCCCUCCUAGAGGGUAAAUGCAAAUAUAAUAUAAGAUGGGGAUAAUAAAAAAAAAAACUCUGGAACGUGUGGAUUUAAUUGUACAGUAUGGAAUAGAGCAGAUUUGCAAGCAGAGUUCUGCUUUAAGAAUAAUAAUUCAUAAAAGACUGAAGGAAAGCAUGAAGAUUUUGAAAGUGAACAGUCUGUAGCAGGAGAAGGAUGAGAUGAAGCAGCAGGCUGAGCCUCACAGCCUGGGGGGGCGAGAAUGGAGGCGGCUGAGUGGAUCCAUGUCUGGGAAGAGCAUCCAAGACCCCAUGGAUCGGUCCAGUUGCAGACACAGAGAAGCGGCAGGAAACCUGCAGAGCAAAAUUUGUCAGAACUCGGACCGGCAAACAAGAGGAAGCUGGACCACACAGCCCCCCCCGUUCACCUGGUGACCCUUCCAAGUCUGUGAAACCCCUCCUUUAUCCAGACCUGAUCAGCACUUCAGAAACCUGGCGCCCUCUACAGGCCGCAUGCUGACAGCAUGGACUGACCGACUGACUCACACACCCAGCGUCCUUCAGAGCAUGUGCAAUACGGAUCCGGAUGACCUCAUCUUGAUGAGUGUGAUGUGUCAGUAUAAGGGCCGAAGUAUAUGAAGGAUAAGGGCAGUGGUUUAGGUUGGGGUCAAACCAACCAAAAGCCAUAGUUGUUUGUGUGCGUUUUUAUUUUAUUUUUUUAAACCAUUAACCUGGACACACUCACUCACACUUUAUAAGCACUAUCUGGUAAAAAAGAAACCAAUAAAAAAAUAUGGGUACACCACUGGGGUCAGUGCGGGUACCUGGACAGACCAGGCAGGUUAACCCAUUUGGAACUGUUAAAUCUUCAAUGUGUCACUUUGACAACUAAACCUACUGAAAAAUGUCCACUGGAUUGGUGAUAUCCUUGUGGAAAUGGCAGGGGGAAGUCCGAUGGAUAAAAGGCCCACUUUAGCAAAAGGAUGCUGCUCGUAAGGGAGGGGAGACCGCGGGGAAACACUGUCCUGAGAAUGUGAAGGCCCCUCAUUGCCUGUUGAAGGUGAAUAUGGGGACCCCAGCUUUGGUUCAAAGGAAAUGGUCUUUCCACCAUUUCAGGAACAGAGGAGACUGACAUCAAAGAGCUCCCAUUACUAUAGAAACCGGUCUGGAUUUACUCCAGCUUACUGGGAUUUCCAGGUGGGUCGCAACUUAAAUGUCACUAACUCACUCCCACCUGCUCCGUUCUGUGUUUGGCGCCACAUCACCUAAGACUGGCAUCCGGGAGGACAUAGUCAUGGCAGAUCUCUGCGAAUUGGCCCAGGGAACCACCAGCUCUUGCUCUGUGGUUCCCAUCGAAGCCUGGACUUGGGGAUGUGUGCAGCAAAUCAGGUCUCUGCCUGCAUCAAAGAAGAGGUGUUCUUGUUGACAUGUUCUUGGUUAGAAGCAGCCGUUGUCCCACACCUGCCUCCAUGUAGCCGUGGUGAACUGAAAGCAAGUAACUCCACCGGAACAUCAGCUCUCAGGGCCAGCUGGGUCCCACUCCUGCACGUUUGUGUUCCUGGUCUCAUUUCAGGGGAACUCUGUUGUUUCCAAACCUCAGUUGCAACUCAGGCUUUUUUUUUUUAUUUUUUAACUUCUAUCAGCAAGUUUUCACAUCCACAUUAUAUUCAAAUUUCACUGUUCAAAUCCCAACAAAUUUAUAUGGUGAUUGCGUGGUUUUCAUUUAAUCUGAAGUGAAUAAGGAACUAGGGUCCCCUGGGGGAAAAUCCACAAAGGCUUUUAGUAUAAUUGUGUAUUGUUUUGUUUGUCCUUUAACUUUUUUUUUUUUUUUGGGGGGGGGGGGACAUGGUGUAUUCUGAGGUUGCUUGUGAAAUGAAAGAGUUGGAUCAUGCGUCUUUCACGGAGAGAAUAUCCCAUCGCUUUAACAAUUGUAUAAGGUUAUUUAUUUAUUUAUUGUAUUUGUUUGCAAUAUUCUUAUAUUUUUGUUCGGGUUAGUAUGUACAACUGUGGUUGCUGUUUGGGUUUGCUCUUCUGGGGUGUUCCGUGAAGCAGCCUUUUUAAAUCUGUAGCUAUAAUCUUGAUCAUUUCCAGUUAAUUACAUCUCUUGGGCACACACUCAAAAAAAACACGACACAUCUCUAUUAUUCACAGAACAAAGUUUAAGAGUGAAAAUAACCACAUCGUGUGUCCUGUUAGUAAACUCUUACAGCAUGUCUAUAUUGACUGACUGAAGAGGGCGGUCUCAUAAAUGGCCUGCCUGGACUCAGAAACUCAUGUUUUUAUUCACAGUGCACCUUUUCUACACUGGACUAUUCCAUUCCUUAUGUCUUAGCUCCUUAAAAGUUGCAGGAAGUAAUAAUAAUCAGCUAUAGGUGUUUUUUUUAAAAAGACUACUAUAUAAAGGGGCUGCUUACGGUGAUUAUAGUAAGAUGUUCUUUAUUUUGCUAGUGAAGCACAUUGGUGAACCUGUACAGACGUUUGUCAAGAACACUGAGCUGGUUUACAGUGACAGACAGUGAGUCAGAGGAGAGGCCAUUGCGGCGAGUGUGUCAUUCAGACAUGGGCCACAUUUAAUUCUUCCUCAUUUAAGUUUUAUUUUUGACUGGUGAGUGUCGGUUUUGCUGCCGGUAUUCUUGGGUUCAAGCCAAGUAUGUGCUCUCUGCAUAGCCGUCUGCUGGGGAUGCAGGAUGCCUCAUUGGGCAUGUGGAACCCACCAGAUGGGUGCAAACGAUGGCCUUGCAGAUGGGGCUCAGAAGCCUGAGAUUUCCUUUGGCCGGUCACAUGUCACAGCUAAACCCUGAGCUGCUGAUCCAACAAACGCUGUUAAGUCUUUCUCAGGAUCACAGUGCUUCUCUGAUCAGCUCUAAGUGUCUCCCUUUAGGUUCUCUCACAGUCUAUGUUGUUAGUUUGUGAGCCAGCAAAUGCACAGUGACUCUGAGACAAGCUUUUUUUGGUGCUUCAUUUCUCUUCUUUGCUCGAAGCAGGUAUUUAGUUUGCUUUACUGCUGCCUGGUCAGUAGAUGGGGCUGACUGAAAUAGAACACAAGGCAUUCAGUGAGCCACAAAAAUAUUGUCACUUGUUGGGUGGCUCACGAAGGGUCAGACAACCGGCUGGAGCCAGUCUGCGGGCGACUCGAGCGUCACAUUCCGCCUCAGAGUGCAAGGCGAGAAACCGCAUCCAGCUGGGGUUCUGAAUCAGUCAGGCAGGUGCGUAUGUGAGGAGAGAUACGAAACGUUCCCAUCUCGCUUUCGCACCUGGUCAGUUGAGGUGUGAGAAUGUUAGCUGCUCCACGCACCUUCUGUUGAGUCAUCUUCUUAGCAUCUUCUACAUUCCCCUCCCCCCCACACAUGCUUGCAUUCAGUCCAGAUUGAUGGCAUGAGCAGUCUACAAAGGGGACUGCUUUUGCUUGGUGAUGCGUCGUCGGUCCAGCUUCAUUAAAUUGAACUUGAAAUCUGAUAUCCAGCCUUUAAGAAACCAGAGAGGCAAGACUGUAUUACGAUUCCACACCACUGAUUGGCUUCUAAACCAUCCUCCACAAUUGGCUUAGAAAUGUCUUGUAGACAUUGCCCCCCCCUCAGUAGACUCUGCAUGUGAAAUCAAAAAACUGCCUCUUGACGUUAGCAAACAUUACCCCUUGACCCCAGUAUCAUCUAGCUGAUGACAUAACCCAGAAUGGUGUUAUCCUGUCCUCAAGGUUUCUUCAGGUGUUUUUUUAAGCCAUGUCUUGCCAGUGUGUAUGUGCCGGACCCUGGUUUUUGUCAUGCGUCCUCAGUGGUGUGCCUCAAUAGUACACACUCAGAUGACCCCCAGCAAGCCAAGCUGAAGGUUACUGUCGCCUCUGUUCUUGCCAGGUUCCAUAGAAAGUGGUCAUGCUUGGCCUGGUAGACGUGCGGCAGCAUUUUGCUCGUCUUCUGCCCUUUCUCCUCCUCCAGAGUAGGAUGGUGAGAGAAUUGCUCUAGUCUUCCAGCAGUAACAUGCCAAUGGGAAAGCAGGCCGCCAGACAGGCAGUGCAAAACUGGUAGAUCACCCUGGUUGUGGUUUAAGCUAGAUCAAGAAGGGUUUGUGGUAUCUGUUCUGUUUUUUGUCACAAUUGUAUAAAUCUCAGUGGUGCUUGAACUGAACACAAGACUGCAUGAGAUUAGGUUUGCAAAUGAAUUUCCUGGUGCAAGCAGAACGUCUUACCAUGUCAUUUGUGUACGAUCAAAUACUGAACAUUCAGGUACUUUAAGGGAGAGCCAGAUCAAACUUACACACACACUCUGCUCUUAUCAGGGACAGUCUCUGUAACUAUAACCAGGAAGCAAAUAGCACAGCCUCUGGCUCUCUAACUGGAAAGUCGCCGCACGUUUAACGUGUGAUCUUUCCUUUCUUGAACAGUUUCCUCUCCGUAGGGGUUCUGGCUUCCGUCUCAUCAGGGUGAGUAAAGUAGCUGCUCCCUGCAACAUUGCGACAUCAAGAUUGUAGAAUGAAAGUGUACAUUUCCUCACUCGAUGCUCAAGGUGUCACAUGUAGCUUCAUCCUGUGGAAAGUCCAUACUGGGCGUCGGACCUCCGACCAGCUUCUUGGUGCGCUUCCGAAGGACAGUCGACUGUCAGCAUUGAAGGUAGUCAGGGCAGUGUCAUCAGGGAAAUCUUGUGCAGUUUACGUACCUCUUAAGAGUCCACAAAGGCUGAAGGUCAACGCACCCCUUUGCUGGCCUUCUGGAUUGAAGGAGAAAUCUAUGUUGAAAUGAAGCUGAGAUCAAACUGACUGUUGUAAACUUAUUUUUGUCUGUAAAUAAUCAAAAUGAAACAACGGAAGUCUUUGUAAGUUAAACUAUUUUUAUUGUAACAAAGGCAAAUAAAGAAUGGCACUGCUACCCCUUG